rnacentral:rRNA from 1 species
UACGUAGGUGGCAAGCGUUGUCCGGAUUUACUGGGCGUAAAGAGCGCGCAGGCGGUCGUUCAAGUCGCGUGUGAAAGCCCCCGGCUCAACUGGGGAGGGUCACGCGAUACUGAUCGACUCGAAGGCAGGAGAGGGUAGUGGAAUUCCCGGUGUAGUGGUGAAAUGCGUAGAUAUCGGGAGGAACACCAGUGGCGAAAGCGACUACCUGGCCUGUUCUUGACGCUGAGGCGCGAAAGCGUGGGGAGCAAACAGG